UGGAUCAAAGCCAGUUGAUUGGGGUACUUAGCUGUUAACUAAGUUUUCAUGGGUUUGAGUCCCAUUGGUCUAG
rnacentral:tRNA from 1 species